rnacentral:rRNA from 1 species
AUUGAACGCUGGCGGCAUGCCUUACACAUGCAAGUCGAACGGUAACGGGCCUUCGGGUGCCGACGAGUGGCGAACGGGCGAGUAAUGUAUCGGAACGUACCUUUCAGUGGGGGAUAACGUAGCGAAAGUUACGCUAAUACCGCAUAUUCUGUGCGCAGGAAAGCAGGGGAUCGCAAGACCUUGCGCUGAUUGAGCGGCCGAUAUCAGAUUAGCUAGUUGGUGAGGUAAAGGCUCACCAAGGCGACGAUCUGUAGCGGGUCUGAGAGGAUGAUCCGCCACACUGGAACUGAGACACGGUCCAGACUCCUACGGGAGGCAGCAGUGGGGAAUUUUGGACAAUGGGGGCAACCCUGAUCCAGCCAUGCCGCGUGAGUGAAGGAGGCCUUCGGGUUGUAAAGCUCUUUCGGCCGGGAAGAAAUCGUAUCAGCUAAUACCUGGUGCGGAUGACGGUACCGGCAUAAGAAGCACCGGCUAACUACGUGCCAGCCGCCGCGGUAAUAC